rnacentral:rRNA from 1 species
UGUCCGGCAUUAUUGGGCGUAAAGAGCUCGUGGGCGGUCUGUUGCGUCCGCUGUGAAAACUCGGGGCUUAACCCCGAGCCUGCAGUGGAUACGGGCAGACUAGAGGUAGGUAGGGGAGAAUGGAAUUCCCGGUGUAGCGGUGAAAUGCGCAGAUAUCGGGAGGAACACCGGUGGCGAAGGCGGUUCUCUGGGCCUUACCUGACGCUGAGGAGCGAAAGCGUGGGGAGCAAACAGG